rnacentral:rRNA from 1 species
CCCUUAGAUGUUCUGGGCCGCACGCGCGCUACACUGACGAAGUCAGCGAGCAUGUCCUACGCCGACAGGUGCGGGGAAUCUUGUCAAACUUCGUCGUGAUGGGGAUUGAUUAUUGAAAUUCUUGAUCAUCAACGAGGAAUUCCUAGUAAGCGCAAGUCAGCAGCUUGCGUUGAUUACGUCCCUGCCCUUUGUACACACCGCCCGUCGCUACUACCGAUUGAAUGGUUUAGUGAGAUCUUCGGAUUGGCGCCACUGCGGCUCAGCAAUGGGCUCGGUGGAUGCCGAAAAGUUGAUCAAACUUGAUCAUGUAGAGGAAGUAAAAGUCGUAACA